AUAAUAUGAACAAAUUACCUUGCCUUAUCUUAUUAUGAGUGUUCUGAUCAAGUUUUGGCUGAUUAAAACUCUAAACUGACUUCCUUUACUUUAAUUUAUCUUUACUUUCACAUUCUUUUGCUUCAAGGCUUCAAGGCUUUUUUACAUUUUUAGUACCAACACAUGGUCAAAAAAUAUAUAAGCCUCUCAAAAUACCAUGUGUUGUUCAACCAUACAAAAUGUUUUUGUUUUUCAGUUAAGGGUAAAUGUUGAUGUUACAUUCUGACCCAGAAAGAGAACUUAAACGACUUAAAAAUUAUAUUAUAUUUUAAAGAUUAUAAGUAACUUUACAUAUCGCCUUUAAGCCUUUUUCUAAGCCUUUUUCUUCUUAACUAUUCUCUACAGUAAGGCACAGGGGAAAGGGUAACAAUAAGGUGCCCAUAAAGACCACAGUGUGUCUUUAAGAUAGCAGCUUCUUACAGAAAACAGGGGAGUUACGUCAUCCUUUCCGGGAAAUGGAGACUAGUCAUCCCAUAUCUUCCUCCUCUAGAAGCGCAGGAAAACACUCAUCCCCUGAUCCUCAACAUCACGAGACCGAGACCGAGAGAGAGAGAGAGAGAGAGAGAGAGAGAGAGAGAGAGAGAGAGAGCGGUAUCGCUGCAGUAGUAGAAAACACUGGGAUCAAUGCUUUAUUUGCGCUUUCAGUCUGACCAGCGCUGCAUUCCAGUAAAGCUCCCAGCGUGACUCACAGCUUCCCACCCAUCAUCAGCACCACAGCUACUAUCAUCACUGCCUCCAGUCCUCACCUGAAAACCCGACUCCGCUCACCACAGCCCACAGCACGCGGGACCCUACUGCAAACUCUCUUUACAGUUCGAGCUAUGGCAACGGACUCCCGCCCGUAAGGAUUAUUCGUCGGCAUGCAGACAGACGGAGGGGGAAGCCAUGGCCAGGAUUCCCAAUCCUUUCAUGGGCCCUGACCUCAUUUCCUACUGCAGCAGUACCUAUGUGUUACACUAUAUCUGUUCUGUGUGCUUACCCGUUCCAUUGUCAACAUGUGUGGGAGGAAACUACAUGCAAGAUAUGAAGGACUUAUAUAAAUCAAUCCAGGGUUCCAAACUAGUCAAUGCCAGCAAUGUAGAGAAAUGCAUUCCCUUAGAGCCCGUUUUCCCCUAGGGCUUUCUUACUGCCUCAUUUUAAGAACUGUAUGAAGGGCACAUUCCAUUUAUGGCUUCCAUUUACGUGUUGUUCUGCUUUUUUUUCAAUUUCCUGCGGAUGUGAGAGCAUGCUGGCCCUUCACAUAUUUGGUUUUGUUCUGACAGUUUCUGUAUGCUCUUUUGCAAAAUCAGCAUUUUCAGAGUCAGCAUAUUCCCAGAGUAGCGUCAUCUUCAACUUUGUAUAAUUUCCCUCUUGUCCAUUUUGACAGAGUUAAAUUUAACUUUGUUAUCAAA